rnacentral:snoRNA from 1 species
AAACCAUGAUGAGGACACUCUAAGAGGAAGUCUUUGAAACGUUCCAUUCAUCUAGAGAAUGAUUCAUUGGGUCUUUGGUGAAACUGAAAAAUGUCAUUCCUAAUCUU